CUAAGGCUCCAGAGGAAGCCACGGCUAACUCUGUGCCAGCAGCCGCGGUAAUACAGAGGCGGCAAGCGUUGUUCGGAAUUAUUGGGCGUAAUGAGCACGUAGGCGGCCUUGCAAGUCAGUUGUGAAAGCCUUCCGCUUAACGGAAGAAUGCCAGCUGAUACUACAGGGCUUGAGUACGGGAGGGGAGAGUGGAACUUCUGGUGGAGCGGUGAAAUGCGUAGAUAUCAGAAGGAACGCCGGCGGCGAAAGCGACUCCCUGGCCCGAAACUGACGCUGAGUGUGCGAAAGCUAGGGGAGCAAACGGGAUUAGAUACCCCGGUAGUCCUAGCCGUAAA
rnacentral:rRNA from 1 species